rnacentral:rRNA from 1 species
AUGAUGGCGCUGCUUACCAUGCAGUCGAACGAUGAUGCCCACUUGUGGGUGGAUUAGUGGCGAACGGGUGAGUAACACGUGAGUAACCUGCCCUUGACUCUGGGAUAAGCCUGGGAAACUGGGUCUAAUACCGGAUAUGACUGACUAUCGCAUGGUGGUUGGUGGAAAGCUUUUGCGGUUUUGGAUGGACUCGCGGCCUAUCAGCUUGUUGGUGGGGUAAUGGCCUACCAAGGCGACGACGGGUAGCCGGCCUGAGAGGGUGACCGGCCACACUGGGACUGAGACACGGCCCAGACUCCUACGGGAGGCAGCAGUGGGGAAUAUUGCACAAUGGGCGGAAGCCUGAUGCAGCGACGCCGCGUGAGGGAUGACGGCCUUCGGGUUGUAAACCUCUUUCAGUAGGGAAGAAGCGUAAGUGACGGUACCUGCAGAAGAAGCGCCGGCUAACUACGUGCCAGCAGCCGCGGUAAUACGUAGGGCGCAAGCGUUAUCCGGAAUUAUUGGGCGUAAAGAGCUCGUAGGCGGUUUGUCGCGUCUGCCGUGAAAGUCCGGGGCUCAACUCCGGAUCUGCGGUGGGUACGGGCAGACUAGAGUGAUGUAGGGGAGACUGGAAUUCCUGGUGUAGCGGUGAAAUGCGCAGAUAUCAGGAGGAACACCGAUGGCGAAGGCAGGUCUCUGGGCAUUAACUGACGCUGAGGAGCGAAAGCAUGGGGAGCGAACAGGAUUAGAUACCCUGGUAGUCCAUGCCGUAAACGUUGGGCACUAGGUGUGGGGGACAUUCCACGUUUUCCGCGCCGUAGCUAACGCAUUAAGUGCCCCGCCUGGGGAGUACGGCCGCAAGGCUAAAACUCAAAGGAAUUGACGGGGGCCCGCACAAGCGGCGGAGCAUGCGGAUUAAUUCGAUGCAACGCGAAGAACCUUACCAAGGCUUGACAUGAACCGGAAACGCCUGGAAACAGGUGCCCCACUUGUGGUCGGUUUACAGGUGGUGCAUGGUUGUCGUCAGCUCGUGUCGUGAGAUGUUGGGUUAAGUCCGCACGAGCGCACCCUCGUCUAUGUGCAGCACGUGAUGGUGGGGACUCAUAGGAAACUGCCGGGUCAACUCGGAGGAAUGUU